GCCCGGGUGGUGGAAUUGGUAGACACAAGGGACUUAAAAUCCCUCGGCAGUAAUGCCGUGCGAGUUCAAGUCUCGCUCCGGGCACCA
rnacentral:tRNA from 1 species